rnacentral:rRNA from 1 species
UACGUAGGGUGCGAGCGUUAAUCGGAAUUACUGGGCGUAAAGCGUGCGCAGGCGGCGCGUUAAGACAGGUGUGAAAGCCCCGAGCUUAACUUGGGAAUUGCGCUUGUGACUGGCGUGCUGGAGUGUGGCAGAGGGAGGUGGAAUUCCACGUGUAGCAGUGAAAUGCGUAGAGAUGUGGAGGAACACCGAUGGCGAAGGCAGCCUCCUGGGCCAACACUGACGCUCAUGCACGAAAGCGUGGGGAGCAAACAGG